rnacentral:rRNA from 1 species
GCUACACAUGCAGUCGAGCGGAAACGAUAGAAGCUUGUUCGGGUGAGUAUAGCGGCGGACGGGUGAGUAAUGCAUGGGAAUCUGCCCAGUAGUGGGGGACAACAGUUGGUAACGACUGCUAAUACCGCAUACUCCCAACGGGUGGGGGGCCUUCGGGCCUCACGCUACUGGAUGAGCCCAUGUCAGAUUAGCUAGUUGGUGGGGUAAUGGCCUACCAAGGCGACGAUCUGUAGCUGGUCUGAGAGGAUGAUCAGCCACACUGGGACUGAGAUACGGCCCAGACUCCUACGGGAGGCAGCAGUGGGGAAUAUUGCACAAUGGGCGCAAGCCUGAUGCAGCCAUGCCGCGUGUGUGAAGAAGGCCUUCGGGUUGUAAAGCACUUUAAGCAGUGAGGAAAGGUUGAUGGUUAAUAGCCAUCAGCUGUGACGUUAACUGCAGAAUAAGCACCGGUUAACUCCGUGCCAGCAGUCGCGGUAAUACGGAGGGUGCAAGCGUUAAUCGGAAUUACUGGGCGUAAAGCGCACGUAGGCGGCUUUUUAAGCUAGAUGUGAAAGCCCUGGGCUCAACCUGGGAACUGCAUUUAGAACUGGAAGGCUAGAGUCUUGGAGAGGGGAGUGGAAUUCCAGGUGUAGCGGUGAAAUGCGUAGAUAUCAGAAGGAACAUCAGUGGCGAAGGCGACUCCCUGGCCAAAGACUGACGCUCAUGUGCGAAAGUGUGGGUAGCGAACAGGAUUAGAUACCCUGGUAGUCCACACCGUAAACGCUGUCUACUAGCUGUUUGUGGAUUUAAUCCGUGAGUAGCGAAGCUAACGCGAUAAGUAGACCGCCUGGGGAGUACGGCCGCAAGGUUAAAACUCAAAUGAAUUGACGGGGGCCCGCACAAGCGGUGGAGCAUGUGGUUUAAUUCGAUGCAACGCGAAGAACCUUACCAUCCCUUGACAUCCAGAGAAGCGACUAGAGAUAGACGUGUGCCUUCGGGAACUCUGUGACAGGUGCUGCAUGGCUGUCGUCAGCUCGUGUUGUGAGAUGUUGGGUUAAGUCCCGCAACGAGCGCAACCCUUGUCCUUAGUUGCCAGCCUUAAGUUGGGCACUCUAAGGAGACUGCCGGUGAUAAACCGGAGGAAGGUGGGGACGACGUCAAGUCAUCAUGGCCCUUACGAGUAGGGCUACACACGUGCUACAAUGGUGAGUACAGAGGGAAGCGAACUUGUGAGAGUAAGCGGAUCCCUUAAAGCUCAUCGUAGUCCGGAUCGGAGUCUGUAAUUCGACUCCAUGAAGUCGGAAUCGCUAGUAAUCGCAAAUUAGAAUGUUGCGGUGAAUACGUUCCCGGGCCUUGUACACACCGCCCGUCACACCAUGGGAGUGGGUUGCAAAAGAAGUAGCUAGUCUAACCUUUGGGAGGACGGUUACCACUUUGUGAUUCAUGACUGGGGUGUA